CCUACGGGAGGCAGCAGUGAGGAAUAUUGGGCAAUGGACGAGAGUCUGAACCAGCCAAGUAGCGUGAAGGAUGACUGCCCUAUGGGUUGUAAACUUCUUUUAUAUGGGAAUAAAAUGUUCCACGUGUGGGAUUUAGUAUGUACCAUAUGACUAAGGAUCGGCUAACUCCGUGCGAGCAGCCGCGGUAAUACGGAGGAUCCGAGCGUUCUCCGGAUUUAUGGGGUUUAAAGGGAGCGUAGGUGGAUAGUUAAGUCAGUUGUGAAAGUUUGCGGCUCAACCGUAAAAUUGCAGUUGAAACUGGCAGUCUUGAGUACAGUAGAGGUGAGCGGAAUU
rnacentral:rRNA from 1 species